AGAGUUUGAUCAUGGCUCAGGAUAAACGCUGGCGGCGUGCCUAACACAUGCAAGUCGAACGCCCUGGUGCUCUUCGGAGCGCGAGGGAGUGGCGGACGGGUGAGUAACACAUGGGUGACCUACCCCACAGUGAGGAAUACCGGCGAGAAAUCGCCGACAAAACCCGCAUAGGCUUUCUGGGAUGAACCGAGAGAGCAAAGUCGCAAGACGCUGAGGGAUGGGCCUGUGGCCGAUUAGCUAGUUGGUGGGGUAAGCGCUCACCAAGGCGACGAUCGGUAGCUGGUCUGAGAGGACGAUCAGCCACACUGGGAUUGAGAACGGCCCAGACUCCUACGGGGGGCAGCAGUGAGGAAUUUUCCGCAAUGGAGGCAACUCUGACGGAGCAACGCCGCGUGCAGGAGGACGCUUUUCGGAGUGUAAACUGCUUUUCUGUGGGACGAGGCAGGACGGUACCACAGGAAGAAGCCCCGGCUAACUACGUGCCAGCAGCCGCGGUAAUACGUAGGGGGCGAGCGUUGUCCGGAGUUACUGGGCGUAAAGGGCACGCAGGCGGUGCGGCGCGUUUCGCGUGACAGCGGAGGGCUUAACUCUCCGAGGAUGCGAAAGACGGCGGCACUUGAGGGCCAGAGAGGGACACGGAAUUCCGGGUGGAGUGGUGAAAUGCGUAGAGAUCCGGAGGAACACCGAAGGCGAAGGCAGUGUCCUGGCUGGUGACUGACGCUGAGGUGCGAAAGCUAGGGGAGCGAACGGGAUUAGAUACCCUAGUAGUCC
rnacentral:rRNA from 1 species